rnacentral:lncRNA from 1 species
GCCUGACAUUCCUGCCUUCUUAUAUUAAUAAGAAAAAUAAAAUAGUGUUGAAGUGUUGGGGUGGCGAAAAUUUUUGGGGGUGGUGCGGAGAGAGAAUGGGCGAUGUUUCUCAGUGCUGCUUCAAGCGGGAUUAGGGGCGGCGUGGGAACCUAGAGUGGGAGAGAUUAAGCUGAAGGGAGGUCUUGUGGUAAGGGGUGACAUUGAGGGGGUUGUUAGAAGAAACAUUUGUCAUACAGAAAGAUUGGUGAUGGCCUGGAUACGGUUUUGUAUGAACUGAAAAACUAAAUGGAAUAAGAGAAGGAGAAAAACAGGUAUAAAUGGUUUAAGAAUUGGGAGGACCUAGGACAUCUGAUUAGAGAGUGCUUAGGAGAUUCAGCAUAGUCCUGCCAGCAAAGAUUAUUUAUUUACUUCAAGAGUAGAAGUUUGGGGAUAGCACCAGGAGAUAUCAGCUGUGAUGGCUUGGAGAAACAGUGUAAACCAGCAGUGUAAACAAGAGUAGGGCAUGUAUGAGUAGUUGAGAACGGUGAAUAGGAGUAUGACUAGACAGAAGAUAGUAGGGAUGACAAGUUUUUUGGGGCACAGUCUAAGUUGGUCUGGCGUCUGGAAUGAGACUGGGGCCUAAUAAAAAGGAGCAUCUAUGCAGGAGCUUAAAUGGGCUGUACCUGGUAGCAUUCUGAGGACAGGUCUCACUUCUCAGAAGGGAAAGUGGUAAAAGUAUUGUCCAGUCCUUUUUAAGUUGGUGGCUGAGCUUGGUGAGGUGUGUUUUUAAAAGACCUUUAGUCUGUCACUGAAAACUAAGAGCCUGAUAAAAUGCUUGGCUGAUUUGACUAAUAAAGGCUGGUCUGUUAUCAGACUGUAUAGAGGUGGGAAGGCUAAACUGAGGAAUUAUGUCUGACAGAAGGGAAGAAAUGACUGCGGUGGCCUUCUCAGACCCUGUAGGAAAGGCCUCUACCUAUCUAGUGAAAGUGUCUACUUAGACUAAGAGGUAUUUUAGUUUUUGUGACUCAGGGCAUGUUGAGUAAAGCUAAUUUGCCAGUCCUGGGCGGGGGCAAAUCCUCGAGCUUGAUGUGUAGGGAAGGGAGGGGGCCUGAAUAAUCCUUGAGGAGUAGUAGAAUAGCAGAUAGAAUAGCAGAUGGAACACUGAGAAGUUAUUUCCUUGAGGAUAGAUUUCCAUGAUGUAAAGGAAAUGAGAGGUUCUAAGAGGCGGGCUAGUGGUUUGUACUAUAGCAUAGCCUGCCUUUGCUGGUGUGUGGUGAUUAGGCCCGGUGGAACUGCCAUCAAUAAAUCAAGCGUGAUCAGGGUGAGAAACAGGGAAGAAGGAAAUGUGGGGAAAUGGGAUGAACAUCAGGUGGAUCAGAGAGAUACAGUCAUGACGGUCAGGUGUGGUAUCUGGAAUAAUGUGGGAGGCGGGAUUGAAGUCCGGGCCAGGAACAAUGGUAAUUGUGGGACUUAACGAAGAGAGUACAGCUGAAGGAGCCAGGGAGCAGAAAGUAUACGUGUCAGGUAUGAGGAAGAAAAUAGAUUUUGGAAGUUAUGAGAAAUGUAGAGAGUGAGUUGAGCAUAGUUUGUGAUUUUGAGGGCCUCUAAAAGUAUUAAAGCAGUGGCAGCCACUGCACGCAGACAUGAGGGCUAGGCUAAAACAGUAAGGUCAAGUUGUUUGGACAGAAAGGCUACACGGUGUGGUCCUGGCUCUUGUGUAAAAAUUCUGACCGCACUAACCAUGCCUAGGAAGGAAAGGAGUUGUUUUGUAGAAGGUGCUGGGGUUUGGGAGAUUAGUCGGACAUGACUGGCAGGGAGAGCACGUGUGUUUUUAUGAGAAUUAUGCCAAGAUAGGUAACAGAUGAGGAAGAAAUUUGGGCUUGAUUGAAGUAAUGGGGGCUGUCUGUGAAGCUUUGCGGCAGUACAGCCUAGGUAAUUUGCUGAGCUUGAUGGGUGUCAGGGUCAGUCCAAGUGAAAGCGAAGAGAGGCUGGGAUGAAGGGUGCAAAGGAAUAGUAAAGAAAGCAUGUUUGAGAUCUAGAACAGAAUAAUGGGUUGUAGAGGCAGGUAUUGAGGAUAGGAGAGUAUAUGGGUUUGGCACCACAGGGUGGAUAGGUAAAACAAUUUGGUUGAUAAGGCGCAGAUCCUGAACUAACUUGUAAGGCUUGUCUGGUUUUAGGACAGGUAAAAUGGGGGAAUGGUUAAGGAGAGUUUAUAGGUCUUAGAAGCCCAUGCUGUAGCAGGCAAGUGAUAACAGGCUUUAAUCCUUUCAAAGCAUGCUGUGGGAUGGGAUAUUGGCAUUGAACGGGGAAAGGGUGAUUAGGUUUUAAUGAGAUGGUAAGGGGUGCAUGAUCGGUAGCCAAGGAGGGAGUAGAGGUAUCUUAUACUUGUGGGUUAAGGUGGGGGAAUACAAGAGGAGGAUGCAAAGAAGGCUUUGGAUUGGGAAGAAGGGCAGCAAUGAGAUGCUGCUAUAGUCCAGGAAUAGUCAGGGAAGAUAAUUUAGUUAAAGUGUCUCAGCCUAAUAAGGGAAUUGGGCAGGUGGGGAUAACUAAAAAAGAGUGCAUAAGAGUAUUGUCUAAGUUGGCACCACAGUUGGGGAGUUUUAGAGGUGUAGAAGCCUGGCUGUCAUUCCCACAACAGUUAUGGAGGCAAGGGAAACAGGCCCUUGAAAAGAAGGUAAUGUUGGAGUGGGUAGCCUCCGUGUUGAUUAAGAAGGGGACGGACUUACCCUUCACUGUGAGAGUUACCUAAAGCUCGGCGUCCGUGAUGGUCUACGGGGCUUCCGAGGCGAUCGGGCAGCAUCAGUCUUCAGCCGCUAAGCUGAGAAGAUCUGGAAAGGAGUCAGUCAGAGAGCCUUGGGCCAGAGUUCCAGGGGCUCUGGGAGUGGCUUCCAGUUUCAGAUUCACCCAGAUGCCUUGGAUAAUUUGUUUUGGAAAACAUAUAUUGAAGAUAUCAGAGCCACAGUAUGACAGAAGACUAGGUCCCAGAAUCACAACUGGAAGGAAAGUCAUGCACUAAUGAAGAAAACAAUUCUUAAGGCUUAUAUGAGCUGAAAACAAACUUCUGUCAUGUUGCUGCCUUUAUCCAUUUUUAAAAGAUGUUUGUCAUCAGUAGUGCUACUCUAAUAAAAUACAUCAUGAGCACAAUAACUUAAACUGGUCUCAUUAUAAAUCCUAGAUCUCCUAUCAUCACAGUUUAAAUCCAGACUACUGGUGUGGAAAGGUAUAUAAAUGCCUUCCAGAAUCUGAAAGGCAUAAUUUUGUUCACUUAUUUCAGGUUUUACUAAGGAUUCCAUACCCUUGGCUUCUGUUGAAUUAUUUC